AACGAACGCUGGCGGCAGGCCUAACACAUGCAAGUCGAGCGAGACCUUCGGGUCUAGCGGCGGACGGGUUAGUAACGCGUGGGAACGUGCCCUUCUCUGCGGAAUAGCCACUGGAAACGGUGAGUAAUACCGCAUACGCCCUUCGGGGGAAAGAUUUAUCGGAGAAGGAUCGGCCCGCGUUAGAUUAGAUAGUUGGUGGGGUAACGGCCUACCAAGUCUACGAUCUAUAGCUGGUUUUAGAGGAUGAUUAGCAACACUGGGACUGAGACACGGCCCAGACUCCUACGGGAGGCAGCAGUGGGGAAUCUUAGACAAUGGGCGCAAGCCUGAUCCAGCCAUGCCGCGUGAGUGAUGAAGGCCUUAGGGUCGUAAAGCUCUUUCGCCAGAGAUGAUAAUGACAGUAUCUGGUAAAGAAGUCCCCGGCUAACUCCGUG
rnacentral:rRNA from 1 species